GGCUCAGAUUGAACGCUGGCGGCAGGCCUAACACAUGCAAGUCGAGCGAGAAAGGUCUUCGGACUGAGUACAGCGGCGGACGGGUGAGUAAUGCGCAGGAAUCUACCUGGUAGUGGGGGAUAACUCGGGGAAACUCGAACUAAUACCGCAUACGCCCGUACGGGGGAAAGCGGGGGACCUUCGGGCCUCGCGCUAUCAGAUGAGCCUGCGUAGGAUUAGCUUGUUGGUGAGGUAAAGGCUCACCAAGGCGACGAUCCUUAGCUGGUCUGAGAGGAUGAUCAGCCACACUGGAACUGAGACACGGUCCAGACUCCUACGGGAGGCAGCAGUGGGGAAUAUUGCGCAAUGGGCGAAAGCCUGACGCAGCCAUGCCGCGUGUGUGAAGAAGGCCCUUGGGUUGUAAAGCACUUUCAAUUGGGAAGAAAGGUUGCGUGUUAAUAGCACGUAGCUGUGACGUUACCUUUAGAAGAAGCACCGGCUAACUCCGUG
rnacentral:rRNA from 1 species